rnacentral:rRNA from 1 species
UGCAGUCGAACGGCAGCACGGAGCUUGCUCUGGUGGCGAGUGGCGAACGGGUGAGUAAUAUAUCGGAACGUACCCUGGAGUGGGGGAUAACGUAGCGAAAGUUACGCUAAUACCGCAUACGAUCUAAGGAUGAAAGUGGGGGAUCGCAAGACCUCAUGCUCGUGGAGCGGCCGAUAUCUGAUUAGCUAGUUGGUAGGGUAAAAGCCUACCAAGGCAUCGAUCAGUAGCUGGUCUGAGAGGACGACCAGCCACACUGGAACUGAGACACGGUCCAGACUCCUACGGGAGGCAGCAGUGGGGAAUUUUGGACAAUGGGCGAAAGCCUGAUCCAGCAAUGCCGCGUGAGUGAAGAAGGCCUUCGGGUUGUAAAGCUCUUUUGUCAGGGAAGAAACGGUGAGAGCUAAUAUCUCUUGCUAAUGACGGUACCUGAAGAAUAAGCACCGGCUAACUACGUGCCAGCAGCCGCGGUAAUACGUAGGGUGCAAGCGUUAAUCGGAAUUACUGGGCGUAAAGCGUGCGCAGGCGGUUUUGUAAGUCUGAUGUGAAAUCCCCGGGCUCAACCUGGGAAUUGCAUUGGAGACUGCAAGGCUAGAAUCUGGCAGAGGGGGGUAGAAUUCCACGUGUAGCAGUGAAAUGCGUAGAUAUGUGGAGGAACACCGAUGGCGAAGGCAGCCCCCUGGGUCAAGAUUGACGCUCAUGCACGAAAGCGUGGGGAGCAAACAGGAUUAGAUACCCUGGUAGUCCACGCCCUAAACGAUGUCUACUAGUUGUCGGGUCUUAAUUGACUUGGUAACGCAGCUAACGCGUGAAGUAGACCGCCUGGGGAGUACGGUCGCAAGAUUAAAACUCAAAGGAAUUGACGGGGACCCGCACAAGCGGUGGAUGAUGUGGAUUAAUUCGAUGCAACGCGAAAAACCUUACCUACCCUUGACAUGGCUGGAAUCCCCGAGAGAUUGGGGAGUGCUCGAAAGAGAGCCAGUACACAGGUGCUGCAUGGCUGUCGUCAGCUCGUGUC